AAAUUGAAGAGUUUGAUCAUGGCUCAGAUUGAACGCUGGCGGCAGGCCUAACACAUGCAAGUCGAACGGUAACAGGAAGCAGCUUGCUGCUUCGCUGACGAGUGGCGGACGGGUGAGUAAUGUCUGGGAAACUGCCUGAUGGAGGGGGAUAACUACUGGAAACGGUGGAUAAUACCGCAUAACGUCGCAGGACCAAAGAGGGGGACCUUCGGGCCUCUUGCCAUCAGAUGUGCCCAGAUGGGAUUAGCUUGUUGGUGAGGUAACGGCUCACCAAGGCGACGAUCCCUAGCUGGUCUGAGAGGAUGACCAGCCACACUGGAACUGAGACACGGUCCAGACUCCUACGGGAGGCAGCAGUGGGGAAUAUUGCACAAUGGGCGCAAGCCUGAUGCAGCCAUGCCGCGUGUAUGAAGAAGGCCUUCGGGUUGUAAAGUACUUUCAGCGGGGAGGAAGGUGUUAUGGUUAAUAACCGCAGCAAUUGACGUUACCCGCAGAAGAAGCACCGGCUAACUCCGUGC
rnacentral:rRNA from 1 species